rnacentral:rRNA from 1 species
AACGAACGCUGGCGGCAUGCUUAACACAUGCAAGUUGAACGCAGAAUAGGACUUCGGUUCUAUUGCUGAGUAGCAAACGGGUGAGUAACGCGUGGGAAUCUACCUUUUUGUGGGGGAUAACUGAGGGAAACUUCAGCUAAUACCGCAUAAGCUCUACGGAGGAAAGGCUUCGGCCGCAAGAAGAGGAGCCCGCGUCAGAUUAGGUAGUUGGUAGGGUAAAGGCCUACCAAGCCAAUGAUCUGUAGCUGGUCUGAGAGGAUGAUCAGCCACACUGGGACUGAGACACGGCCCAGACUCCUACGGGAGGCAGCAGUGGGGAAUAUUGGACAAUGGGGGAAACCCUGAUCCAGCAAUGCCGCGUGAAUGAAGAAGGCCUUAGGGUUGUAAAGCUCUUUUACCCGGGAUGAUAAUGACAGUACCGGGAGAAUAAGCCCCGGCUAACUCCGUGCCAGCCGCCGCAGUAACAC